GAAAUGGUGGGCGGUCCAAACGGAACAACUGACUUUCCUCUAGAGGAUUUGAACUGGAGGAGGCUUGAAGUUGAACAAUGGAACUCUCAGUACCAACUUCCCUUUACAGUCUGAUCUCAGAAAUCUGACAGCCAGUUGUAUUCCCCCAGACCCUCUACCUUCACCUGUAAGUCUAAGUGGCAGGAAUUUCGCAACUCCAAAAAGUGAUGCCGAAAAAUAUUGGAGCAAUGUCUUCAAAAUUGUAAGAGUAUACACCCAACUAAACUGUUGACAAGUAGCAUAAAGGGUAGAAUAAAGAUUUUUCCCUGGCCAGGUGUGGUAGCUCACACCUGUGAUCCCAGAACUUUGGGAGACCAAGGCU
rnacentral:lncRNA from 1 species